GGUAAGUCAAGUAAAUAUGCAUUAUAUCCAAUUUUUUGCAAAAUGAAGAAAGGGCCAAUGGCUCGAGCAUGAAGUUUCUUUAAAGAAUUUUUAGGAAAUCUUGCAGGACGAACAUGAAUCAUGACAUAAUUACCAACAUUGAAUUAUUUAUUCCUACGAUGCAAUUCAAUGGCAAGUUUAUAAUUUUCAUUACUGAAAGCAAAUUUUC
rnacentral:misc_RNA from 1 species